GCGAACGGGUGAGUAACACGUGGGCAACCUGCCCUAGGGAGCGGGACAACUCGAGGAAACUCGAGCUAAUACCGCAUGAGUCGGCCAGAAGAAAAGGUACGCCCUAGGAUGGGCCCGCGGCCGAUUAGCUAGUUGGUGUGGUAACGGCUCACCAAGGCGACGAUCGGUAGCUGGUCUGAGAGGACGAUCAGCCACACUGGGACUGAGACACGGCCCAGACUCCUACGGGAGGCAGCAGUGGGGAAUCUUGCGCAAUGGGCGAAAGCCUGACGCAGCAACGCCGCGUGGGGGAAGAAGGCCCUCGGGUUGUAAACCUCUUUCAGGAGGGACGAAUGACGGUACCUUCAGAAGAAGCCCCGGCUAACUACGUGCCAGCAGCCGCGGUAAUACGUAGGGGGCAAGCGUUGUCCGGAAUUAUUGGGCGUAAAGCGCGUGUAGGCGGCUUGGUAAGUCUGAUGUGAAACCUUGGGGCUUAACCCCAAGCCUGCACUGGAUAC
rnacentral:rRNA from 1 species